CUAGCUGGAAACAUUACAAUAAAUCUAAACCAGGUCAAUGUUUACAAGGAGGUAAACGAGUCAGGGACUUUCUCUUCAAACAAUUGUUGAGGCGAGGUCGAGGAAUAUUUAAAAGUGACUUAUAGACAUGUGUCAGUAAGGCCCGAAGGACGGGCCCACUUGUCUAUUCCCUCCACAGAUGCUGCCUGACCCGCCCCUCCAGCACACUCUACUUUGCUCAAGAUUCCAGCAUCUGCAGUUCCUUGCGUCUCCGUGGUAAAGGGAAUUGAUGAAGGCCGAGGAAAGGCAGUUAUGGUUCAAUGGAAAUGAAUAGGUUCGAGAGGCUGAAUGUCCUUCCCUUGUGCCUAAUGGGGAUUGGCGAGAUGAAUGUGCAGACUGUUUAUCCCGAAAUUUGCAGAACAACCCGGGAUUCGGGCGCUCGACCCUCGCAGACCCAUUGAAGUCCAACGACUCGACACCCUAUCCACGGGAUGGUGAAGUGGCACCAGCCCAGCACCAAUUAAUUCCAAGACGUUCUCCCUUUCGCAGCCAAUUGACUUGGGAACAAAUUCGCCAAUUCCCAACCUCAAGCAGUUAAAGAAGAAUGUGCUGAAUCGGGAGAUGCCUCAACCAUUGAAAAAAAAAACCCCCAACACAAUCCCGCGGAAAGUGGAAAUCGAAAUAAAUAGAGACAAUGUUGAAAGUCCCGCGGGAAGGCAAU